rnacentral:rRNA from 1 species
UACGUAGGGGGCUAGCGUUGUCCGGAAUCAUUGGGCGUAAAGAGCGUGUAGGCGGCCAGAAAAGUCCGCUGUGAAAACUCGAGGCUCAACUUCGAGCUGUCGGUGGAAACUUUCUGGCUAGAGUCCGGAAGAGGAGAAUGGAAUUCCUGGUGUAGCGGUGAAAUGCGUAGAUAUCUGGAGGAAUACCGGUGGCGAAGGCGGCAUCCUGGACCGACAUUGACGCUGAGGAGCGAAAGCUAGGGGAGCAAACGGG